rnacentral:rRNA from 1 species
UACGUAGGGGGCUAGCGUUGUCCGGAAUCACUGGGCGUAAAGGGCGCGUAGGCGGCUCAUGAAGGCUGUGGUGAAAGUCCGGGGCUCAACCUCGGAUCGGCCGUGGCGACUCGUGGGCUGGAGCACUGUAGAGGCGGGUGGAAUUCCGGGUGUAGCGGUGGAAUGCGUAGAGAUCCGGAAGAACACCAGUGGCGAAGGCAGCUCGCUGGGACGGUACUGACGCUGAGACGCGAAAGCGUGGGGAGCAAACAGG